rnacentral:rRNA from 1 species
UGGGGAAUUUUGGGCAAUGGGCGAAAGCCUGACCCAGCAACGCCGCGUGAAGGACGAAAUCCCUCUGGGAUGUAAACUUCAAAAGUUCGGGAAGAAAUACGGGUGGGGAAUAUCCGCCCGGGAUGACGGUACCGAAUAUAAGCCCCGGCUAACUACGUGCCAGCAGCCGCGGUAAUACGUAGGGGGCAAGCGUUGUUCGGAAUUACUGGGCGUAAAGGGCGCGUAGGCGGCACGAAAAGUCGGGAGUGAAAGCCCGGGGCUCAACCCCGGAGGGUCUCCCGAAACUGACGAGCUAGAGUGCGGAAGAGGCAACCGGAAUUCCCAGUGUAGCGGUGAAAUGCGUAGAUAUUGGGAAGAACACCAGAGGCGAAGGCGGGUUGCUGGGCCGACACUGACGCUGAGGCGCGAAAGCCAGGGGAGCAAACGG